AAGCAACAUAAAAGGUAAUCAGUGAUAACUUGUAAGGAUUUUAUCAUGCCUACUCAAAGAAACAUUUAAAUGGAGAAGAAAAAUUAUACAAUGAAAUUCGUUUAUGUAUAACAAUCUCAUUGUAACUAUUGUUGGCCAAAUGUCUAAUUUUCAAUAACUUGAAGCGUGUCUACAUAAUAUAACAUUGUUAAGAUUCAGAUAUCACAUUUUCAAGCAUGAAGUGUGAGCAUACUGAUUCAAGUUGCAGAAUACAGAUCAACCACAUGAUUUAUUCCUCCAUUGCACCUCCAUCUUCAAUGGCUUCCAACAUUUCUUUCAAAG
rnacentral:misc_RNA from 1 species